CUCCAGCUGCUGCUGCUGCAGCAGCAGCAAGGUGCUGCUGCUGCUGUAGCACUGCUCGCAGCAGCAGCAAGGUGCUGCUGCUGCUGCUGAGCUACCAGCAGCAGCAGCAGCCUGCUGCUGCUGCUGCUGCUCCUGCUGCUGCUACUGUUGAGCUCCCAGCAGCAGCAGCUUCUUGCUGCUGCUGCUGCUGCUGCUGUUGAGCUCCCAGCAGCUGCUGCUGCUGCUGCUCAGCAGCAGCAGCAGCUGCUGAGCUGCCUGCUGCUGCUGCUACAGUAAUCGCAGCAGCAGCAGGCUGCC
rnacentral:other from 1 species